CUUGGUCAUUUAGAGGAAGUAAAAGUCGUAACAAGGUCUCCGUAGGUGAACCUGCGGAGGGAUCAUUACACAAAUAUGAAGGCGGGCUGGAAUCUCUCGGGGUUACAGCCUUGCUGAAUUAUUCACCCUUGUCUUUUGCGUACCUCUUGUUUCCUUGGUGGGUUCGCCCACCACUAGGACAAACAUAAACCUUUUGUAAUUGCAAUCAGCGUCAGUAACAAAUUAAUAAUUACAACCUUCAACAACGGAUCUCUUGGUUCUGGCAUCGAUGAAGAACGCAGCGAAAUGCGAUAAGUAGUGUGAAUUGCAGAAUUCAGUGAAUCAUCGAAUCUUUGAACGCACAUUGCGCCCUUUGGUAUUCCAAAGGGCAUGCCUGUUCGAGCGUCAUUUGUACCCUCAAGCUUUGCUUGGUGUUGGGCGUCUUGUCUCUAGCUUUGCUGGAGACUCGCCUUAAAGUAAUUGGCAGCCGGCCUACUGGUUUCGGAGCGCAGCACAAGUCGCACUCUCUAUCAGCAAAGGUCUAGCAUCCAUUAAGCCUUUUUUCAACUUUUGACCUCGGAUCAGGUAGGGAUACCCGCUGAACUUAAGCAUAUCAAUAAGCGGAGGA
rnacentral:rRNA from 1 species